UACGUAGGGUGCAAGCGUUGUCCGGAAUUAUUGGGCGUAAAGAGCUCGUAGGCGGUUCGUCGCGUCUGCUGUGAAAAUUUCGGGGCUCAACCCCGAACUUGCAGUGGGUACGGGCAGACUAGAGUGUGGUAGGGGGAGACUGGAAUUCCUGGUGUAGCGGUGGAAAUGCGCAGAUAUCAGGAGGAACACCAAUGGCGAAAGGGCAGCUCUCUGGUACAUGAUUGACGCUGAGACGCGAAAGCGUGGGGGAGCGAAACAGG
rnacentral:rRNA from 1 species